GACGAACGCUGGCGGCGUGCUUAACACAUGCAAGUCGAACGCUGAAGCACUAGCUUGCUGGUGUGGAUGAGUGGCGAACGGGUGAGUAAUACGUGAGUAACCUGCCCUUGACUCUGGGAUAAGCCCGGGAAACUGGGUCUAAUACUGGAUGCUACAUGUCACCGCAUGGUGGUGUGUGGAAAGGGUUUGCUGGUCUUGGAUGGGCUCACGGGCUUUAAGCUUGUUGGUGAGGUAAUGGCUCACCAAGGCGACGACGGGUAGCCGGCCUGAGAGGGUGACCGGCCACACUGGGAAUGAGGCACGGCCCAGACUCCCACGGGGGGCAGGAGUGGGGAAAAUUGCACAAAGGGCGAAAGCCUGAUGCAGCGAAGCCGCGGGAGGGAGGACGGGCUUCGGGUUGUAAACCUCGUUCAGCAGGGAAGAAGCCACAAGUGACGGUACCUGCAGAAGAAGCGCCGGCUAACUACGUG
rnacentral:rRNA from 1 species